UCCAUAUCAUGUUGAAAUACUGGUUAUCAUACAAUCACCAAAGUUAAGCAACAUCAAGCCUGGUCAGUAUCUAGAUGGGUGACUGCUUGGGAAUAUCAGGUGCUGUAAG